AAUGAUAUAACAUGAAUCACCUCUAUAUUGCCCGUAUUCACAAAGCAUGAAUCUUUCUUAUAUACUUUUGCAAUAUCAUAGAAUUCAUUUUUUUUUCGGACGAACGAAAAACUUGAAGUCCUCGUUGAAACUUAAGGUUACUAGGAAUAUGUCAAUGUCUAGAUUCAAAUCUAAUAUUACAAGGAAUUUAGCAAGCAUAAUAACCCACUGCCAAAGUGUAGAAAAUAUUUCAAUGAAAAUGUUGUUCAACUGACUAGUCAUAUAAGAUCAAUGAACAUAUAAAUUCAACAAGGAAUUCUAUUUUAAAG